GUGUCAGCAGCCGCGGUAAUACGGAGGGUGCAAGCGUUGUCCGGAUUUAUUGGGUUUAAAGGGUGCGUAGGCGGUUUAUUAAGUCAGUGGUGAAAGACGGUCGCUCAACGAUUGCAGUGCCAUUGAUACUGGUAGACUUGAGUAUGAUUGAGGUAGCUGGAAUGGAUAGUGUAGCGGUGAAAUGCAUAGAUAUUAUCCAGAACACCAAUUGCGUAGGCAAGUUACUAAGUCAUAACUGACGCUGAGGCACGAAAGUGUGGGUAUCAAACAGGAUUAGAAACCCGCGUAGUCC
rnacentral:rRNA from 1 species